GCUGUUGGGCUCAGGUGGAUUUUAUCUUUGAAUUGCCAGGUGGUUCAUGUCCUUCUCAGAUGCUUCAGUGAACUGGGACAGAAGCACAGAAAACUAAAAAGAAAUACGUGAUUUCUCUUAAGGUCUAGUUCAGAACUAGCACUCAGUCACUGCUGCCCCUGUUUCAUAGUGAAAGCAAGUCACACGACCAAGCCCAACAUCAACGAGACACAUUCUUGCAUGUGCCCUGACCAAGGAUUGAACAUGCAACCCUGGUGUACUGAGAUGAUGUUCUAAGCAACCAAGCUAACUGGCCAGGAUGAAGUCUUAUUCAUGUUCAUUUCCUAACACUUAGCAGAGUGCCUGGCUCAUAGAGUUGCAGCAGUCUGUCACGCCGAGGUAAUAGUGCUGGGCGAUGGCAGGAAAGACAGCUGACGUCGUCACGCUCCUGCGCCCAGAUCAGCAUCUGCUCACCACUGGACUUCUGGAUGGACAAAAUUGAACAGAGGAAUAUCUCCCCCACUCCAAUGUCCCCUUUCAUACAUCCAAAGACUUUCCUGACCAACUCCCCUCUAUUCAUCUCUCAGUGAGGAACAUGUGACUGCUGGGUUAAGGUACUGUGCUUCUCUGAGGAUUACAAAACGUGAUGAGCAUGUUGGCCAUGUGUUAUACUCAGGACACUAACUACAACCUUGAUGCUUAAGUUGCUUAUUCAUUCAGACAUUUACUGAAUUUUAAUUUUUUUACAGUGAAGAAAGAACUUAGGAAGUUGGUGGAGGAAGAGAAAAACUUUCAGCCACUACACAUAUAUAGAUUUUUGUUCAGUCAUUGUUAAUAUCAUGAGACUGGUUCACAUGACGUCAGUGUAACCUGGCAGUCAAGGAGAGUGGACUGGAGUACAUGUACGUAAACAGUGAUGACCUCACUGUACUAGUCAGUGAGGCUGGUAGAUGCCAUUGAGUGAGCAUGUGUACUGUGUUGUGUGACCAUCACAUUCAAAAUGUCUGAGCAAGUAGAGCAACAAAUCUGCAUUGAAUUUUGCAUUAAGUUUGAACAUUCCUUCAUGGAAACUGAAGGAUGAUUCAGAAGGCUUUCAGGAAUGAGUCAAUGAGUGCAGCACAAAUAAAAGUGUGGCACAAAUGCUUCAAAGAUGGGUGAGAAUCUGUUGAAAAUGAUCCAUGCUCUGGAAGGCCUGCAGAGUUUUAUGGCAAAACAUCAAAUCAUCCAGGUGACUCAGGCCCCCCUACAGCCCAGGUUUGGUGCCCUGUGACUUCUGGCUUUUCCCAAAACUAAAAUCACCUUUCAAAGAUAAUAGAUUUCAGACUGUCAAUGAGAUUCAGGAAAAUACAAUGGAGCAGCUGAUGGCGAUUCCAACAAAGGAUUUUGUAGAGUAUGUUGAACAUUGGACGAAAUGCUGGGAGAACUGGGUGAGGUCCUAAGGUGUCUACGCUGAAGGGGACUGAGGCAUCAUUGUCUU